rnacentral:rRNA from 1 species
UACGAAGGGGGCUAGCGUUGUUCGGAAUCACUGGGCGUAAAGCGCACGUAGGCGGACUUUUAAGUCAGGGGUGAAAUCCCGAGGCUCAACCUCGGAACUGCCUUUGAUACUGGGAGUCUUGAGUGUGGUAGAGGUUGGUGGAACAGCAAGUGUAGAGGUGAAAUUCGUAGAUAUUUGCUAGAACACCAGUGGCGAAGGCGGCCAACUGGACCAUAACUGACGCUGAGGUGCGAAAGCGUGGGGAGCAAGCAGG